AAUAUUAUAAUAUUACGCAGAGAAAGUUUUCGCUAUACCGUUGUUCGCCGUAUAAAAUAUGCGACUCGUACCAUCAAAAUAAUACCAUUAUUUAAUUAAAAUCAUAUAUAGAUAACGAAUAUUACAAGACGGAUUUGCCAUCAUUUUCUACACACUAUUAUUAUAUUAUAUUAUUUAUUGAUUUUUGUGAUAUGUAAAUAAUUAUUAUCGGUAUACGAUUAAAUUUCUAACACCUUAAUAUUCAAGUUGCCGCGAUAACUUCUCGUCAUAUUACUGUACGAAAACGAUGUAGGUAAUAACGGACUCGAAACAAUGCAAUAUUCGUGAAUAAGCAAUAAUAUUAGCAAGGCUGAACGAGUUAAAGAGUUAAUUUCCGACAUAAAAGUUAAGUCACCGUAUCGUUUAACUUAGCUUUUAACCUUUGAUUUUGGUUUUUAUCAGUUUGAUUUUUAAUAUAAUUAUUUUUCAUUUUUUAUUUUUUCGUAGAAACUUGAUAAAUAACGAAUUAAAUUUGAAUUUACAUUACGGUAAGAUUACAUUGCGUGUAGCUCAGAGUUAAAAAAAAAAAUGGUAUAUAGAUACUUUGAUAUUUUCUGAAAAACUCCCUCGUGUUUUACCACAUUGAUCACACUUUUUUUCAAAAUAAUUACAAACUCUAGGUUCAAUCGUUUUCACUGUGACAAUAGACAAAUAAGUUUAUUGACAUUUAAAAAGUAAAUUAAACCGUCGAAAUAACUUUUAAGUUAAUUGUUUUCUAUUUACCUAACUUAAUCGAGUACAAAUUAUUUAUUAACUUGUACAGCCUUGAACGUUAUGUGGGUCGGGUACGUUUUCGUCGUUUACAAACAAGUAUUUUUGAUCAGGUAGUAUCGCUAGUAGAAAAACGAUAAGUGGGAAUUGUAGGCUACAACGGCCUGCAAUUAUAUCAACGAUAAAAAAAAAAAAAAAAAUCCGCCACGCUCAAACCUGAUGGUAUUGUUCUAGGGAAGUUAGUGCCGUCCUAAGCACAUAUCGAAAACCUUUAGUAGUAGGUAGUUGAAAAACCAUGUCGAGUAAAAAUAAUAGAGGCGGAUAGUGGAAAAUGCCAAGUCGGAUAAGAGGUCAUAUUUUGAAGUAGACAAUUCGCCUGGCGGGGCGGUAAUGACACGAUGCAUAAAGCAUUAUACGAAAUUAUGGUAUUUUUUAUUAUGAUAUUUUGAAAGGGAACGGUUGGUCAAAUUGAAAUAUUCCGUCCGGUCGCCUAUCGAUUUUUUGACAACCAGCAACCAUACCUAUCGGUUUUCGAUCUGUUUUAAUGAUUUCUGUAAGUAUUAAAACGCAGCGGGGGAAAAGUCCAAGUCGUUAUCGUGUUUUCAUUGGUGUACUGAUAGUAUUAUUGUUUCGGUUGGUCGAAUAAAU